UACGAGAGGCCCAAACGUUAUUCGGAAUUACUGGGCUUAAAGAGUUCGUAGGCGGCGCAGAAAGUAGGGUGUGAAAGCCCUCGGCUCAACCGAGGAAUUGCGCUCUAAACUACUGUGCUUGAGGAAUCUAGAGGUGAGCGGAACUGAUGGUGGAGCGGUGAAAUGCGUUGAUAUCUACAGGAACUCCGGUGGCGAAGGCGGCGUGCUGGAUCUCUUCUGACGCUGAGGCGCGAAAGCUAGGGGAGCAAACGGG
rnacentral:rRNA from 1 species